rnacentral:rRNA from 1 species
UACGUAGGUCCCGAGCGUUGUCCGGAUUUAUUGGGCGUAAAGCGAGCGCAGGUGGUUUAUUAAGUCUGGUGUAAAAGGCAGUGGCUCAACCAUUGUAUGCAUUGGAAACUGGUAGACUUGAGUGCAGGAGAGGAGAGUGGAAUUCCAUGUGUAGCGGUGAAAUGCGUAAAUAUAUGGAGGAACACCGGUGGCGAAAGCGGCUCUCUGGCCUGUAACUGACACUGUGGCUCGAAAGCGUGGGGAGCAAACAGG